rnacentral:lncRNA from 1 species
CCCCUGACUGGCGAGGCUUCUUCUAAACGAGUGGAGUUCAGUUAGACUGCCCCUUCUUUCUCGUGCUCUCCGUCCAAGCGAGCUAACUCCUGAUCUCCUGUUGUAAAGAUCUCCAGACCAAGGCUACUCUUACCAGUUGACAUCCAUCCCGUUGCAUUCCCAGCGGCUUGAGUUCUAUUGGAUGGGGUUCUAUACGAGCGUUCCAUACCGUCUCUUGGGAUCAAACUGAAUGAAGUUGGACUCCCUUCAAGAGA